UAUGUAUACAUAUAUUCCGCAUUCAUUGUAAUGGUUGUAACUUGUAAACUACACUAACCUCUCUUGGUAUGGGAUAUUCCUCAGACUCUAGCAUACGCACAACUUGGCUCAUUUUAGGUCUCUUUUCAGAGUCAGGAUCAAUGCAUCUAAGUGCUGUAAGAAGAACACGUUUCAACGCUCUUGUCGCUGGCUUAACGGCUAUGUUUGGAUCAAUGACUUCUUCCAGUCUCUUAGUUCCUACCAUCAUCUUCAACCACUCAACUAGAUUCACCUACAAAAAGAAUGUAUAUGAGUCUCAAAAUUAUCAAACACAUUCAUCUCUCAAUAGUCUAUUUACCUCACUAGCAGGACGUGCAUAGUCCACAGGAUCCCUUCCGGUUAUUGCUUCUAAGAUCAAGACACCGAAGCUGUACACAUCACUCUUCUCAUUCAGAAGUCCUGUAUUCGCGUAUUCUGGAGCAACAUACCCAAAUGUUCCCAUCACUCUAGUGGUCACAUGACUUUUCCCAUCUCCAAGCAACUUGGCAAGGCCAAAAUCUGAAACCUUUGCGUUGAAUCUAUCGUCAAGCAAUAUGUUGCUUGACUUGAUGUCUCUGUGGACUACUUUUGGCUCGAUUGCCUCGUGUAGAUACGCAAGACUGCACAGUAGAUAAAACCAUUACUCUAAGCAGAACGUAUAAGAAAACUUAAAAAAUUAAUGAAAAUGUUAUGCUUACGCCUUGGAUGUGCAUGUGAGAACUUUCAUUCUUGCCUCCCAAGAUAUUCAAGUCUAAACAAAGGUUAGUCUACAAAUAAGAUUUCAAAGUGAAUAGUGCUUAGACUUUUGUGUGGUAGAGAAACACUCGCUGUACACACCAAACUAUUAAUACUGAUAUGUAAGUUUCAGUACAAAUCCAGUUCCAUAUACAAGCAUGUGAGUAUAUAUGUUACAUAUCACACGUAUCUAUAUAUAUAUCCCUCUCUACCAUCUGUUCUUUCAAAAGCAAACCCGGAAGAAACAAAACAAGUAGAAUCUCAAACACAAGAACAAGAAAGUGCACAAGAAGCAACAACUUCCAAAGAACAGAGAAUAAGCCACACCAGCAAAGAUCUCUGAUUACUGAAGCCUCUUGCUCUGUGUUCUUGAAGCCGGUGUGCUUCUAUCAGUAUCCGAGUUUUCCUCUUGCGCUCUACGCCCUCUCCGAUCCUGUUAAGUUAAAUACUUGCUUAUGUAUACAUAUAUUCCGCAUUCAUUGUAAUGGUUGUAACUUGUAAACUACACUAACCUCUCUUGGUAUGGGAUAUUCCUCAGACUCUAGCAUACGCACAACUUGGCUCAUUUUAGGUCUCUUUUCAGAGUCAGGAUCAAUGCAUCUAAGUGCUGUAAGAAGAACACGUUUCAACGCUCUUGUCGCUGGCUUAACGGCUAUGUUUGGAUCAAUGAC
rnacentral:lncRNA from 1 species